UGCAAGUAGUAGCCACAGACUAUCAGCUGACAAAACUGGUGAUUGAAAUGUUCCUGGUUAGUAGUUAAAGUUCUGUCUGGAGUUUUGUUUACCUUUGUGAUUGAUGUGAUUUGUGAUGACUAUCCCAAUAUUUUCUCUUUUUUUUGUUGUUGUUAAUCAAGAUGUGAGAGGUCAACUUGCAAAAGAUUUUUUUUUUUUUUCAAAAUGACUCUACAAAAUUGCCUGUCUUUAUUGGCCUGUGUGUGCACGUGCGCACUUAUACUUUUUAAUUAAGCAAAUGCUUUUUUUCUGAAGGGGCUGUGCAUUAAACACGUCCCAGCAUGUGAUUCACACAUUUUCUUUCUACCUGUUGUUUCAUGUUAGUGAGGUGUGCCUGUUGCCCGCCAACUGUAUGGCUUUGGGGUGGAGGAUUUUGAUACAGAUAGGAAGAGAUAUUUUAUAUAAUUAAAUUGCCAACAAAAAUGAGAAUCAUUUACGGAAUCUGGAACUUUGAGAUACUUCCUGUCAUGUCAAUUACACCAGUUUUGCCCCUUAGGGUCUGUUGGUCUCUAAGAAGCAAGCCCAUCCGAGUUCCCAGCCCUGAGGCUGUGCCUGGUUUCACUGUGACUUUCCCGUGGGGGCUGAGGGAAAGAAGUCAUCCUGGUUGUUGUUUAAUUUUUAACUGCUAGUACAUUGCUUGGCAAUGAGGGGUUCCAUUUUUGUUUGUGAAAUCAACACAUAAAUGAACAUCUUAAGCAUCUUCUUAAGGUUUGUAAAUCAGACAAGAGAAGGGAAGAGUGUAAUCUAGAUUUGAGGAUUGGAAAUAUUAUCUCUUUGCAGAUUUAGCCAAUAUAUCAGUAUACUCUGUGGUUCCAUUUUUUUUAAUGAAGGAGAUAGUGAAGUAGUUUCUAUAUUUUAAUUUUUUUAAAAAAAAAUUGUACAUGUUGUACUUGGCACAUUUCCCCUUGUGAAAUUUUA
rnacentral:lncRNA from 1 species